AAUCCAUAGGUUAAUGAGGCGAACCGGGGGAACUGAAACAUCUAAGUACCCCGAGGAAAAGAAAUCAACCGAGAUUCCCCCAGUAGCGGCGAGCGAACGGGGAGGAGCCCAGAGCCUGAAUCAGCAUGUGUGUUAGUGGAAGCGUCUGGAAAGGCGCGCGAUACAGGGUGACAGCCCCGUACACAAAAGCGCAUGUGCUGUGAGCUCGAUGAGUAGGGCGGGACACGUGGUAUCCUGUCUGAAUAUGGGGGGACCAUCCUCCAAGGCUAAAUACUCCUGACUGACCGAUAGUGAACCAGUACCGUGAGGGAAAGGCGAAAAGAACCCCGGCGAGGGGAGUGAAAAAGAACCUGAAACCGUGUACGUACAAGCAGUGGGAGCACCCUUUGGGGUGUGACUGCGUACCUUUUGUAUAAUGGGUCAGCGACUUAUAUUCUGUAGCAAGGUUAACCGUAUAGGGGAGCCGGAGGGAAACCGAGUCUUAACCGGGCGUUAAGUUGCAGGGUAUAGACCCGAAACCCGGUGAUCUAGCCAUGGGCAGGUUGAAGGUUGGGUAACACUAACUGGAGGACCGAACCGACUAAUGUUGAAAAAUUAGCGGAUGACCUGUGGCUGGGGGUGAAAGGCCAAUCAAACCGGGAGAUAGCUGGUUCUCCCCGAAAGCUAUUUAGGUAGCGCCUCGUGAAUUCAUCUCCGGGGGUAGAGCACUGUUUCGGCUAGGGGGCCAUCCCGGCUUACCAACCCGAUGCAAACUGCGAAUACCGGAGAAUGUUAUCACGGGAGACACACGGCGGGUGCUAACGUCCGUCGUGAAGAGGGAAACAACCCAGACCGCCAGCUAAGGUCCCAAAGUCAUGGUUAAGUGGGAAACGAUGUGGGAAGGCCCAGACAGCCAGGAUGUUGGCUUAGAAGCAGCCAUCAUUUAAAGAAAGCGUAAUAGCUCACUGGUCGAGUCGGCCUGCGCGGAAGAUGUAACGGGGCUAAACCAUGCACCGAAGCUGCGGCAGCGACACUCAGGUGUUGUUGGGUAGGGGAGCGUUCUGUAAGCCUGUGAAGGUGGCCUGUGA
rnacentral:rRNA from 1 species